UCUUUCAGUUGACUGAAAUGU
ensembl:piRNA 21ur-5347 ncRNA